UCCCUCUCUUCCUUUCUCCCUUCCUCCCUCCCUAUUUCUUUCCUUCCUUUCCCCUUUAAACAUUUAUUGAAAACCAACUGUGUGCCGGGCACUGGCCUGGGUACUAGAGGCUGCUUGUGUCAAGAAAAACGCAGAUCCUGUCUUGGAGGAGCACACCAUCAGCGCCUGGCAGACAAGCAUCUCUGCAGUUGUGCCCUGUUCUGAAGUCUGGAAGGCUGAAAUCAAGGUGUCAGCAGAGCCAUGUUCCCUCUGAGACUCUGGGUAGAAUCCUUCAUGGCCUCUUGUUAGCUUCUGGAGGUCACUGUUGACCCUUGGCAUUCCUUGGCUUGUAACUGCCUCACGCCAGUCUCGGCCUGUCUUCACAUGGCGUUGUCCCUGUGAAGGGACACAUGACAUUGCCACUUCUUAGAAGGACACCGGCCGUCUUGAAUUAGGACCCACCCUAAUGACUUAAUCUUUACUUGAUUACAUGUACAAAGACCCUAUUUCCAAGUAAGUUCAGUCAUAGGGAAGUGGGGGUUAGGGUUUCGACGUUAUCUUUUUAGGGGUUACAGUUCAUCCCAUAACAGAGAGGAACAGGUAGUUCCACUGAAUUUCUCCCAGGGCACAAUCAUGACCCUUGCCCUGGCUUUCACCUGUAGGCCCAGGCCUAACCAUGGGUGCCCCCAGCGCCUGGCGGCGGCGAACGUCAUGACCGGCUAAGACCAACUUUGGUACCAUGGCGCCCUCUGCUGUCCAGGUGUGGCAAGAGCAGUGUGGCUCCUGGAGAUCAAGCAGCCCUGCCCCUUGGAGACUUCAUACCUUUUUCAACCAUUGAGAAGACCUCCAUCCCGAGGCUGAGGUGGCCAACUAGAAGGCACCGAGGGUCUGGAGGCUGCAAGCACCGGCCCUUGGUGUCUGACUGACCUGGGUUUGCAUCCUGCCUCUAUGGCUGCAUGGCUGGUUGACCCUGGGCUUGUUGCUCGGUUUCUCUGUGUUUUGGUCGCCUCUUCAGGAGAGCAAAGGGGAUUGUUCAUGUUCCCAUGGGGCAUAGAGCUGAGCACAAAGUGCCCGCUCAUACCAGACAACUACUCAUUGUUAAAAUAUUAUGUUAAUAAAUGAGUUAAUAACUGUAAUGUUCUUAAAACAAACCAGGCAGAUAGUAAAUGCUAAUGGAGCAAUUUAUAUUCUUGGCAUCUACUAUUUGCCAGAUUUAUUCUCCUUGGAUCCCUAAGGGCUUAGUAGUGCCAAUAUUAAUAAUAAAUAAUUAGAUGGCAUAUAAUAUUAUUAUCAGUAUUUAUAGGCCCUUAAGGGUCCAAGGAAAUAAAAUUAGGAGGUUCCACAAGCCCAAGAUAUUAUUUUAUUGCACUAAAUCAUAUUUCUCUUUGACAAAUAAAAUGUGUAUUGGGGGGGAGAUUAUCUCAUAAAUUUGGAGUCAAUAAUAUUGGCUCUUUCUUUCUUUCUUUCUAUCUUUCUCUCUUGGCUAUCCUUCCUUCCUUCCUUCCACUUAGUUCUUCCCAUAUGAAUUAAAUAAAGCCUUCAAAAGUGUCCUUAUUUCUUGCUGCAAAGAAAUUUAGGAGGCUAAAGGGGGCUUGUGAGUUCAAAACUCCCCCAUGCUGACCAACCAUCCUGGUUGCCUAAGACUAAGGAGUUUCCUGGGAUUUGGGAACUUUCCGUGCAAAAACUGGGACAGUCCCAGCAUACUGAGACAGUUGGUCCCCUUAACUUCUUUCCACCCUGCUUGGGCCAGAAACUCACUCCCAGGAGAAAGACUGAUUCAAAUCCAGGGAGGGGCUUAAGAUCUCACUUAUUUGGCCGGAAACCCAGUUCUUAGAGUAAUAAGAUGCUGACCUUCAGUAAAUCACUUAACCUCUCUGAGCUUUGGUCUAUAAAGAUGGGAUGUUGUGGAUAUCCAGAUAAGGUGUACAAGUACUUGGCUUGGAGCCUGGUACAGACAGUUCUCCAAUAAACUCAUUUGGCUGUGGAUUCUA